CUGAGCUUCAGGUGCCAAUUCUCAGCCCAGAGUUCAAGCUGAAUUUUGAAAUGUGUUUUUACCUGAUUUGUUUGCACAAAUAAUUGUGAGGGGUAAAACAUAACUGCAGCAAUCCCAUGUUAGCAGGACAAUGGGCUUGUCUGCUGGAGUUCUAAUAGUGUUGUGUGACCUGAUGUAAGGUAAUUGUUAAUUGCUGCUGAAGCAACUCUGGGCAUUUUCCUGCAUGAAUAUCAGGAACAGUACUGUAGGGACUGAGCUACUGCAACUAACUCUUAUGAAGGUCAGAAUGAUUUGGGGACAAACAUGUCAUGUUGACUCCCUGUGACUGACCAUCAUGGGCAUUGACUUCUGGGCUUUGGAACAGCUGCUGCUUCUGUAGACUGUUGAGGCAUAAAAACCUCUUGGAAUAGGACUCAGAAGAUGUUUCUGUUUUUUUCAAUAAGCACGUGAAAUUCCCAGAUUGGGAUUGGAGCUAUGGAAUUUGUAUUUCUGUCAUAAUGUGUGGUCUCACCUGGGCGUACUCUACCCUUUUCCCUACACCAAAUGUGCAUAGCACAGUUGGGUCUGACUUGCCCAAGCUACCUCCUAAAAGUCAAGGUAAUACAUAUUUGUUUCUAUUUCACUUUGGAAAAAAUAAGGUUAUUUCAAAAUGAUUAUGUAAUGAUACUGCUCUAAUAGAACUAUCUAAUAUUUUAGCAGCAUGACUUCUCUACUUAGUGGUGUAAUGAAUAGAGAAAUAUGGGAUUUAAAGUGACUGUGGUUUGAAAUAUUGUAGAUAAAUGCUACUUCCACUUGCCUCAUGAAAAUUGCUUCUCACCAAAGUGCUUUCAAACACAGUGGGCCAGCAUAAAUAUUUUAAGCAUUUUUGCAUAUUUGUUUUUUAACCAAACAUGUGAAUUGCAUACAUUUGCCUUUCUUAUCCUGAUGUAUAUAAAUUAUAUAUUAAAAAUCCAUACAUUUUCUUGUAA